UAUACUGAUCACGAAAUUUCCCUUGUUUGAAAAAAGGAGAAGAGUUUCCGGCCAUACGGCCCAUACCGCGUUUAGUUUUGGUGGUUCCUUCACUCUCACAGAAACUUUGAAAGAAGUUGCACAGUCGCACUAUCGUCGAACAGUUCAGAGUUCAGACAUCAGAAUUGAAAGCGUUAUACGGUAGCGUAAGGAGCACGAGAGAGAGUGAGUGAGAGAAUGGAUGCCCCCCUUGAUUUCGAGAACGAAGACCCGCUUUUCAUCUCCACAGCUCCCACAAAGAAAAGGGAGGACAAACAGUUACAAGUUCAGCUAUUUUAAGCCCCCUUGUAUGGGAAGCAAUGCGCAAUGGGCUAACCCCCCCUCAUUUUGGAAGAAGGUUAUUGGUUUGGAUGAUCUUCUUCAGGAUUUCUACAAGGAGCAAAGUAAGAAUAUUGAGAAGGAGUCAAAACGGAGGACUUCCCGUAAAUGUUACAAUUCAGACGAUGACGAUGACACGGUUCAGAAGAACAAAGAGGCUUCGCUGUCCAGGUGUUUCAGAGAGUGCGAAAAGACGAUGCAAGACGUAAGCAACGAGGAUGAGUUCCCUCUAUGGGGUCUACCGGUUUUCGGAAACCAGAAGGCAACUCCACCGCUUGUUUUUUCUGAGCUUGGUAGAUGCAAGCUUCUGGAGUCUUUCAUGAAUAGCAAAGAGAAUUCGUUUCUGGAACUGAGUGCUGAGAAAGAGGAAACACUUCUUCAAAGAUUAUUGAUAAAUGGUUGGAUUUCAAAGUUAGUUUUUGUGUCUGGAGACGUGGAAGCAUUCAUAGCAAUUUGGGCCUUUAAUCUAAUGUUGUAUUCAUCAAGUGAAGAACUGAGGUCUUCUGCAUGUGACUUUUGGUGCUCCAUUCUUCCAUCCAAAAAUGAGGUUGAUCCACCAUCCAUUAGGAUUGACUGGUUUCCUAGUGCUGCUGAACUGAAAAAGGCGCUUGAAAUAUACGGAUAUGUAUUGGAUUCCUCAAUUGAUAUUUCAUCCCUUUCAGAUAUGGCUCAUGGUGAUUCUGGUUCUAAAGGUCCACCUCAAAAUAUUAGAUAUUGGAUCAAAUUUCUUCUUGCUUGUUUCCGAAUCAGAGGUACAGGGUCUAUCUUCUCAACUUCAGAGGCACAAGAGUUUCUUUGUAUUAUUAUCUGCCUAUUCUUAGACCGUCGUCUUCAAGGCUUAUCAUUACUUUUGUAUGAUUGCAUGCAAUCAAUUAUUAGUUUCUUUGAAGACAAAGAUUGGAAAAGCAGUUGCGAGAAAACAGCAGAAGCUCUAGCUUACAGAAUGCCAAAAGACUUGAACUGCUUGAGAAUUGUAGAGUGUAUUUCAGGAGUUGACACCCGUAGCAAGCAUCUCAGAAGUGAAAUAUCCUUUCAAAUCCUUAUAAAUUGCUUUGAUCCAAAGGUUAAAGAUAUGGAAGAGAUUCUUAAAUUGCUCCUUUCAAUCAAUGUAAAGGACAAAAGUUGCGAUCUUUUCAAGAUGUAUGUCUACUUGGUUCUCACAGAAAAUUGGCUGUUCUCUGAUAAGCUAGUAGAAGACAAGCCAGUGAUUCUUGAAAUGUGGGGGGUUUAUCUUAGGAAUUGUUCUUGCCAAAUUACCAGCACAGAUUUGAGGUCUUAUGCAUCAAAGGUCCGUAACAGGGCUUCUUAUCUCCUACAAAGCACCAUGCAUAGAAGGGAUUAUGAUUGAAAGAUGAGGAAAAGGCCUUGGAUUACUAUGAUGUGAGUAGGUUUCUGGGUAUACAUGCACCGCAGGUGCAGGAAAGUGCAGCUCAAGUGAAUGAAAUCAGUCCAGACCAUAAUUGUCUAUGGACGGCUUUGGGUGCAGUUUGAUCUAGGAAGUUAUGCAACAGAGAUGGAAGUUCUCAAACAGAAGUCAUUGAGAAAUUGAACUGUGAACCUUGCUGGGUAUGGAAGCUUAAAAAUGAAAUGGGCCUUCUGCUCCGAAAGAAUGUUGGACUCUAUACCCCUAGUGCCACAAAAUGAAAUUGUCCCUCUCUGUAAUUUCUACAUAUUUUCCGGACAUGUACAAAGCUUUUAUGUAUUUUGCCUUUUGAUUAUAAUGUCUUUUCCAUUUUGAUAACUUUUUUUUUUUGGGAAAGUUUUCACCUUCUGAAAAGCGUCUGUUCUGCUUCAGAUUGUAAAGAAAUACAGGCCUUGUUUUUUUCAUCAUCCAGUCUACUGUAAUGACAUCUAUCUGUUAGCAUUGUUUUACUUAAUACAUGUCACUCAUGGUUCUCUGA